UAAAUGUUCUUCAGUCCUCGGUAAUGUUGAGAUUCAAACACAUUACAAAGCUUGGAAGAGCCAGGAUGUUAUUAAAUAUAACUCAGAUUGUGUUCAACUGAAGCAAGGAAGUCAUACACAUCUAGGUUGGCUUGUUGAUUCUCUUCGGACUUGACUUCUGCCAAGACUUCCUUAUACAAGGAAAAGCUUGAAGCUUCUGCACAAGAUCCCCGAAAGCCCCACAUCAUCAUCUGCACUACUCAACCCUCUGACUCCACUUGCUCCAUCCUCCCUGACUGCUGAAGAUUUUGCCACUUUUUACACAGAGAAGAUUGAGGAGAUCUGCCAGACCUUCAUGUCUGCCCCAACUUCAUCUACAUUACACAGCCAGGACUUGGCUACUCCUUCACUGAAGCAUCUCUCAACCAUAGCAGCAGAAGAGGUUUUGUAGAUCAUUCACUCCUGCAAUCCCACCACCUGCCCACUGGAUCCAAUCCCUUCCACUAUGCUCCAGACCAUCUCACCUGACCUCUUGCCCUUCAUCACCACAGUCAUCAAUGGAUCCAUAACAUCAGGACAGUGGUCUGGGUCUCGGGGACCUCAAUGGUGGGUACGGCCCUGCUCCCAGGUGACAUUCACACCGGCGUUCAGAAACCGUGGACCCUGGGUGCAGCAGCAGUGGAAAACACUAGCUAGGCCCCGGAUGAGGACCUCUUCCUCUUCUCCACCACCGGCUCCGCCCCCUUUGUGAGAUGCAACGUGACGCUGUGAUCAUCGGAGAUUCCAGCAUCCGGCCCAUACGUGUGACCACAACUAAAGGUGAGGUACGCACUCUGAGUUUUCCUCGUGUUCUUGAUGUCUCUGUGCAGGUUCCCUCGAUCCUGAACAAGAACAUCUGAGCUGUUGUCCUCUGUGCUGGCAUAAACGACACCAAGCUGAAGCAGAUGGAGAUCCUGAAGAGGAACUUCAGGGGCCUGGUUAAGAUGGUAUGCUGGAUGUUGUCCUCAACAAGGAUCAUCAUGCUUUUCUGCACUGAUGGCCUGCACCCCAGCAGAGUUGGAGCGGAACUCCUGUUGGACAACAUCUCCAGGACACUACAAGCUGUCUGACUGAGAAAGAUCGCUCCUAUAUAUACAAAAGAGCACAAACCUACCAGAAGUUGAGGAAAUGAAUCAACAUGUGAAUGUAGCACUAGAUCAUGUUUUUGAACUGAUUGAAAACCUGGCUCAAAAAACCCCAGAAGUUGAACCAGAAGAGGAAGUCGAUUACAGAGGAGAGUGAAAUAACCCUACCCCAGAUCAUUUAUUUCCAAACAACCCAGAAAACGACGUUGUGAUUAUUUCUGAUGUCGAGUUUCCUCAAACGUCCACACAAGUCCCAAAGAAUCUAAGAAGGCCGGAACAUCAGGAACCCCAGUCUAUCCAAAGACCUACAGCUGUUGUAGUUCCACAGCCUAGAAUUUCACAAGUCGAGGGCACACUGAUAGUGAUGAUUCAGAUGUGACACAAGGAGAACAAGAGGAGUUCAAACAGGAAUAUAACUUGGACUGAAGAAAACAUUCAAGAGGAUUUAUUACAGAGGUAUAACGUGGGUCAAGAAGAGAACGCUCAAGAGGAGUUCGAACAACUACAGGAAUAAAACUUGGAUCAAGAAGAAAACCUUCAGUUCAACAAUGCAGUUGUGGAGUUAUUUCAAUUAAGGCAAGGUUUACUGGAAAAGUUUGAUCUAUAUAAAUCACUUGAAAACUGACCAGGAAGGAAGCACCUGCAUUUUUGAUUAUCAGUAACGGAUACAUAUAUAGAUGUAUGACUGUCCAGAGUAAUGGAGAGUGUGGGAAAGGGGUAAAGAAGCGAGUGCAGGCAGGUUGGAAUGGGUGGAGAAAGGUGUCGGGAGUUCUGUGAUAGAAAAAUUUCAGCAAGAAUCAAGGGGAAGGUGUACAAGACAGUGGUGAGACCGGCCAUGCUGUAUUGUUUAGAGACAGUAUCACUGAGACAGAGACAGGAGUGAGAGCUGGAGGUAGCAGAGCUAAAGAUGUUGAGGUUCUCUUUGGGAGUGACACGGUUGGACAGGAUUAGGAACGAGUACAUCAGAGGGACAGCUCAUGUUGGACGUUUGGGGGACAAAGUUAGAGAGGCCAGGUUAAGAUGGUUUGGACAUGUCCAGAGGAGGGAGAGUGAGUAUAUUGGUAGGAGAAUGUUGGACAUGGAGCUGCCAGGAAGUCCAAAGAGGAGGUAUAUGGAUGUAAUAAAUGAGGAUAUGAAGCUAGUGGGUGUAAGUGUUGAGGAUGCAGAAGAUGGGGAUAGGUGGAGAGAUGAUUCGCUGUGGUGAUCCCUGAAGGGAAAAGCCGAAAGAAGAUAUAGAUGUAUGACUGUGAAUGAACAAUUGAUAGUUAUUACUGGUUUCAAUAAUCAUCAGCUAUAUAAGGACAAAAGUGACAGUUUGGGUGUAAUGAAACAGAUCAUGGAGCAAUGUCCAGUGAUGUCAGUGACAAAAGGGCACAGAAACUAACAGUCACACUAUUUUAAUAAUCAAAUUUUGCAUGCAGAUGGUAGAUUUGCACAAAAUGUCGAACACUUUUUUUUUUUUUUUCCUCUUUUUCUUAUUUUUAUGCACAGUACCCAUCAGAAAUUAAAUAGGUUCUGUCUGAUACAUCUACUGCAUUGAGAAAAGGGCAAGGAUGUAGCAAAUCUAUACCCAGUGAAAUAUUUAAAGACCCAGAGUCCUUGAGGAAAGUACUUAAUUUUGAUGAAGGCUAUAGAUUUUUGAAUCCGGUCUGUGGCACUCCAGCAUUUUGGCAAAGUGUCCAAAAAUGUCAGACAGCUGGGCAUUCCUACCUGGUUUUGUUCAUUUUCAUCUGCUGAUAUUAGAUGGACAAAUUUAAUCACAAGUAUUUUAAAACAUGAAGGUAGAGAUGAAACUUUAGAAUGGGCUGAAAAAUGUGAGCUUUUACGGCAUAAUCCUGCUACUGCAGCUCGCAUGUUUGAUUCUAGGUGGCAUUGUUUUUUGAAAGAGGUGCUUGUCUCCUGUUCAGCCAAUAGGAUAAAUCAUGGACUAUUUUUAUAAGGUGGAAUUCCAACAGUGUGGUUCUCCCCAUGUCCAUUGUUCUGGAUUAAAAAUGCUCCUCAAAUAGAUAGGAAUUCUGAUGAAAAAGUUGUUCAGUUUAUAGAUAAAUGUUACGUGUGAGAUGCCCGGUGAAGAUGCAGAACUGUGCAGUAUUGUUACAUAUGUGCAGUGUUGCAACAAGCAUCAUACAAAAACAUGUAGAAAGAAAAAGAGUCGUUUUAAUUUUCCUAGGCCUCCUUCAGUGUGAACAUUCAUGUCACAGAAGAGUAGAAGGGAAUGUAAAUGUUAACACAGAAGUAGAAUAUGCCCAUGGCAUAAUGUUGGCAGAUGAGAGCUGUUUUAGAAGAGAAAUGACCUUCUCUAGAAGUUUUGUUUAAUAGAUUUGGGAUUAGGGGCGUGCGAUAUGACUAUUUGAUCGCAGACAAUUAAAAUGACUGCACGAUCCACUUUUCCAAAAAAAUCGUUGUAUCGUCCUAUAUGGUGCACGUUAUAUAUAGAAUAUGUAGUUCUACUGAUUUCGGGUACAUCCCCGUGCUAGAUGGUGCCAGGUUAAAAAGCUCGUAUGCGUUGCUCAUAAAUUCAGUGAAAUUAAGCGACGCACUCGGUGACAAUGGAGGAAAACACGGAGGAGUUGGUCCCUAAAAAAAACUCAUCAGUGAUAUGGAAAUGGUUUGGUGCAAACCAGUUAUUUGCAAAUGUUGCAAUGAUAAUAUUUGCACGUCGGAUGGCAACACAACGAACCUUUUUAACCACCUCAAAAGAAAGCAUCCGAAAGAAUAUGCCGACAGUCAAAUUAUAAAGGGACUCCACGCAAGUACAUCAGCAGGUACAACCAAGCAGCCAGAAACUACAAGGUUUAAAUAAGCAACUCUAACAAAAGAAUCAUUUGAGAAAGGAACUCCAUAUGACAGAACGAGCAAGCGCUGGAAAGAUGUAACUGACGCGGUGACAUUUUACCUGGCCGAAGACAUGAUUCCCAUAAAGACUGUGGAAAAUAAGGGCUUUAAAAGACUGCUCAGAGUCGUAGAUCCAUGUUGCCAAAUACCCAGCUGCAAAUAUUUUUCCUCCACAGCUUUAUUCCGAGUGCCGCAGCAAGAUGCAACAUGCAAUUCAAAACGUAAAGUUUUUUGCUACAACAGCUGAUUUAUGGUCUAGCCGUACGUCAGAGCCUUAUUUAAGCCUGACGAUACAGAGACAAUAUAUUUCCCAGAUGACCACACGAGAGAACUCGUAGCGCAAGGCCUUAGGGACGCGCUUGAAGGUUGGGGACUGAAAGAAGAAAACAUGACCUGCAUGACGACAGAUAGCGGGGCCAAUAUGGUGAAGGCGUUGGAGCUUAACAGCUGGACUCGUCUGCAGGGCUUUGGGCGCAGACUUCACCUAGCUAUCGAAAAAAGUGCCAAAGACCCUCGUGUUGAACGUGUAAUAUCUGUCUGCAAGAAAGUCGUCAGUACAUUCUCGUUCAGCUGGAAGAAAAAGAGGGACUUAAGUAAUGCUCAAACUGACCUAAAGCUACCUCAGCAGAAGUUCAUCACGGAGUCUCCAACACGAUGGGGUUCGAGACUCAACAUGAUCGAGAGAGUGCUUGACCAGGAAAAGGUGAUUUCUCAGGUCCUGAAGGCAGACAGGAAGACGAGGCAUUUAGUCCCAUCAUGGCAGGAUGUUGACGUGAUGGAAUCUAUGAAAAAGGCUCCGAGUCCUCAGACAUUACUGAUGCACACUCAGGUGAGGACUAUGUGAGUAUAUCUUAUGUAAAGUGUAGCCUUUUCUUCCCGGCAGGAUCCCUUCUAUUGUCACCCGACUCGACUCCGAGCUUUCUUCGGGACAAGACUUUCACUUUCUUCUGAGACUUUGCCGGCAGCUUCAAUCGAAGAACUUUGUUUGCACCACCGAAACCUUUUUCGUUCCAGCAGAAUCUCUUGCUUACUCCGAGGACUUUGAAUCUCCGAACCUCCUUGAUCCACUACAUCAGGACUCUUAUCAACGAACCAAUGCAAGUAAAAGUUACUAAUUAUUUUAGAUCCGCAAUUUUAAGCUGAAGCCCCUUUAUUAAGGCGAAUCCUAAUUACCAUGACGAUUCUCACACUGUUGUAAUCAAAACUCGAUCUGGAACAUGCCAUAUUUGAUCUCUUCCUUAAUCUCAAUCUCUCUUUGCCUACUUAUCCCCUCUCUAUAAUCCUUAUCCUGUCUCUUGUGUGUCGUAGUUAGUAUGUUUGUUUUAUUAAAUGCAUUUUAUUCACGAGUGAUUGCCUCUGUGCUUUGCUCACAAUUUCGGGGUCCCUGAACAUUGCUCUUGCUAAAUUACAGCUAGUACUUUAUAAAGUAGUUAUUCUUUCGUGGCCAGGAAGAUAACUUUCCCUGGAAUUAAUACAUAAUUAUACUGUCUGUUCGCUGGACGAACAAAUCAAAUAAUUGUUAUUGAUUCUGACAUAGUUCUAACCCCCCAUUUGAAUAUUUAUACUUAAUUAUAACCAGUUAUAAUUACACUUAAAUAUUUAAAUUUUGAGCUAAAUUCGUUACAAAAGCCAGUGCUUCACCUGUUGAAAGUCAACAUUUUGAGCCUGAAUGAUGAGGAUACUGAACUAACAAAAACGAUGAAAACUACCAUUCUUGAAUACCUCACUGACAAAUAUCAGGACCCCACCACUGAUGACCUGCUGGAUAUGGCUUCGCUUGUCGAUUCCAGGUUCAAAACACAAUACAUAGACAAAGACAAGAUUGAGGGAAUACAAACCAGAGCUGUGUCCGAGCUGGAGUCUUUGCUGACCAUACAGAAUCCAGCAUCAUCAAAUCAGCAGCCUACCUCUAGUACCUCAACCUCCACAUCACAAAACCCUGAUGAAGAUCAGACGCCACCCAAGAAAGCAAAGAGAUCACUUGCUAGCUUUUUGAAAGCUUCAGGUGUUGCAAGUGUAUCUGCAAGAAGAAUCGGGAUAAAAUCGUGAUUUUUCCAGAAAAAAUCGUGAUCUAUUUUUUUUUUUUUUUUUCCAUAUC